UCAAUAGGUGUUGGUACAGA
rnacentral:siRNA from 1 species